rnacentral:rRNA from 1 species
AGCUCCAAUAGCGUAUAUUUAAUUUGUUGUGGUUAAAAAGCUCGUAGUUGGAUUUCGGCGGGGAUUGGUUGGGUUGAAUUUCUUUCAUACUGACUUUUUUACCCGUGUGUUUUGUCAGAAUUUGGUGGGGGGCCUUAAUCGAUUGUCCGGUUGAACUGGCUGGUUUACUUUGAAAAAAUUAGAGUGCUCAAAGCAAGCUUGACUGCUUGAAUAUUCGUGCAUGGAAUAAUAGAAUAGGAAGUUGUUUCUAUUUUGUUGGUUCUCGGAAAUCGACUUAAUGAUUAAUAGGGAUAGUCGGGGGCAUUUGUAUUCAAACGACAGAGGUGAAAUUCUUGGACCGUUUGAAGACAAACUACUGCGAAAGCAUUUGCCAAGAAUGUUUUCA